GAAAUGCGAUAAGUAAUGUGAAUUGCAGAAUUCAGUGAAUCAUCGAAUCUUUGAACGCACAUUGCGCCCGCCAGUAUUCUGGCGGGCAUGCCUGUUCGAGCGUCAUUUCAACCCUCAGGCCCCCAGUGCCUGGCGUUGGGGAUCGGCCGCUGGCGUCCUUCGGGGCGCCUGGCCGGCCCCGAAAUCUAGUGGCGGUCUCGCUGUAGUCCUCCUCUGCGUAGUAGCACAACCUCGCAGUUGGAACGCGGCGGUGGCCAUGCCGUUAAACACCCCACUUCUGAAAGUUGACCUCGGAUCAGGUAGGAAUACCCGCUGAACUUAA
rnacentral:misc_RNA from 1 species